UUUCUGUGUGCCUGUGAGAGACUGUGUGUGUGUGUGUGUGUGUGUGUGUGUGUGAGAUGAAUGAACAGGGUUGUGUACGUGUGUGUGCGUUAGACAAAUGAACAGUGUUGUGUACCUGUGUGAAUUGUCACUGUGACUCCAGGCUCUAGGCUCUGCAGAUUCCUCAGCCCUAUCGCCUCACAGACACUUGGGAUGUGCAGCAGGUAAAAGAGAGAAGCCAGAUUCAUGGAGGCGUGAAGGAUCCCAGCAAGAAAACACAGACUUGAUCUUGAGACGAGAUUUUUGAAAUUGGUUGCGGCCUCAAGGCAGGCUCUGAGAAGACUCGAUAAAGAGUUCUCAGGAAUAGGCAUCCCUCCUGGAUAUUUCCCCCUUGGAAGCGCCGAGGAGCCAGCUCUAUGUUUGUAACCAUAGCAUUUCUAAAGCUCCAGCCCCAGGAACCUGCUGUGAAUUAGAGACAGAUUCCACCCUAGGCAUCACUGAUCUUGGCCUCUCUUGUAUUGGGAAGGUCAACACUGUUCCAGUUUCUCUCCUACUCCCAUCUGGUUGUGCUCGGUGAAGUAGGUGAGCAGUGCUACCCUUCUGUUAAAAAAAAAAAAAAAAAAAAGAUCCUGAAAGAGGAAAGAAUUUUUGCUACACAUCUGAAAGCUAAAGUCCAGGUGAUGCCUUGAUUACCUAGCUUUGGCUUCUCUGAACUCUGCUUCUCUGAUAGAGGAAACCUGAAGAGAACUAGCAUUUCUGAAACCAUGGCCCGGGUGCCAUUGACAUUCAGCGAUGUUGCCAUAGACUUCUCUCAGGAGGAGUGGGAAUAUUUAAACUCGGAUCAGAGGGAUUUGUACAGAGAUGUGAUGUUGGAGAAUUAUACUAACUUGGUCUCAUUGGACUUUAAUUUCACAACUGAAAGCAACAAGUUAUCUUCAG
rnacentral:lncRNA from 1 species